rnacentral:lncRNA from 1 species
AAAGACAUUCAACUCCAGCCAGAGCAAUUCUCAGCCAUGCUUCCUUCUCAGUAGCACAAUAGCUGAAAAAUGUAACUUUCUUAAUAACUGUACAUCAAUACCGCAAAUACACACUUACUGUGAUAGAUUCCAAACUUAGUACAAAUUCCCCUCUCCAGUUCAUCUUGAAAUUAAGAGUUUAGAAGAAAGUAAGAUUUCCAUUUGUGCUAUACCAAUCAGGAUGCAUUUACUGUUGAAAACUAUAUAUAUAGAUGAUCGUGCGGCCAGAGCUAGCGCUCAGCAACAAUAGUCCAGUUCUCUUUUGUCCGCCACUUUCUCAAACUUAAGAUGAAUUGCUCGUUCCUAUCUCUAUGCCGUUACAAAUGAGCAGACGGCAUUUAGCACGGAAGGCUGAAAUUUCUAGGCAUCAAUCUUGUGAACAGAUGAGUUAUGAAGCAAAAGAUACAUACUGCAGAGUAAAACUACAUGAGAAAUGAUUAGUGGAAAACAAUAUAAUUUGUUUAUUGUAAGAACUGAAAACACCGGAGAACCAAUAUACUUCUUAUAGUAAUAAUUCAUAUCCAAAAAGUAAUCGAUUAUGGGAGCAUCUAACGCUGAUUUAAGCAGACAUUUCAUAAAAACAUGUCAAAGAAUUAUCACUUAUAUCCAACUAAUUACUAAAACGGGAUUUACUGUCAGUAUACAUCUAUAUUCAAUUAGAAAUUAUGGAGAUCCAAGGAGAAUUAUCUAGGUUGUAUGACAUGAGUGCAUAAAUCUUACAAAGGCUAAUUAAUCAUCAGAUACCUUAACGUCUCAAAAAGCUUAACCCUUAGAAUAUUUCCAUAUCUAGAAUGAAACUAAUCACAUCAUGUAAUUACUAAAACAGGUACAAAAUACAGUCAAGUCGAUUUUUCAUUUUUACAGAACAAUUGGUGAGCAUGACAUUGAGCUAUCGUAUCACUAAAAUGUAGCAGCCAAUGGGACCAGCAGAAACCUAUACAUCUAGAAGAAAAUAGUAUCCAAAAUUGUACCAUUGAAGGGAACUGAUACUCAGACCAAGAUAAAGUCUGCUUCACGGCCACACACACACAUUCAGUUACAAUCAGCUUAGUCGACCUGUGAGAGGAGCCUGUGUGUACAUAUUGGACACUACCUGGAUACAUAUAGAUUGUUGUGAUGGAAGUCUCGGGCUCGUAAUGUGGAGAUGGAUGACUCAAGCAGAGCGACAACAUGUGUACACAUAGAAAAUAAUAUAGUGGUUACUUAUCAAACUCAGUUAUUGUCUCAACUGGAAACAUGCAAGCGGAAUUCCGAGAAGAGAUAAUGUCGCAAUCAUCCAAAUAUGCGAUUAAAAUAGUGAUAUGAAAUUGAAGGAUUUCUAUUAACUUGCAAAAUCAGAAUAGUAUUGUCAAAGUGCAACAUUAUUUCAAUUUACUAAAAACUCAAAAAUGCUUGAUCGUUAAGAACUUCUUUGGAAGUCAAGUUAAAAGUCCAGGUGGAUUAAUAUUCUUAGGAUAACUGGCCAAGUAUAUGUGCUAUAUUGAGUCUUCAGUUUAGGUUCUGUAUAUAUAGAUUCCUAGCCAAAAAUUACAGCCUAUACUAAUACUGUAAUACAUGACUGGAUAUCAAGAUCAUCAGGAUAAAUAGUUUCCUUAUAGAAUCACGUAUGGUUGUGCAGCUAAUUAAACAUCUAGAUAAAUAUAAAGGAUAUACCUUCUUUUCAUCUGACAAUCUCCCAUAAUCAACCACACUUGUAAUAUCUUGAAAGGAGUUUGUGCCUGUAAUUGGGAGGGUCUUGUGAAAUGUUUAAUCUAGUUAUCCUUGCCUUCCUCUGUAGAUAACCAGGUGCAGUACUGAUCAAACAAAAAAAAUAUUCACAAGAAAUGAAAAGAGGGUGCAACAUUGCAAAUAAAAAAUAGACCUGACGCAUGAAAAUGCAGCUCCAUUUGGAAUCUGCUCUCUAGUCAAGUAUUUUCUUAAGCAAAUAGGC